UGGGGAAUCUUGGACAAUGGGCGCAAGCCUGAUCCAGCCAUGCCGCGUGAGUGAAGAAGGUCUUCGGAUUGUAGAGCUCUUUUACCAGGGACGAUAAUGACGGUACCUGGAGAAUAAGCCCCGGCAAACUUCGUGCCAGCAGCCGCGGUAAUACGGAGGAUGCAAGCGUUAUCCGGAAUUAUUGGGCGUAAAGCGUCCGUAGGUGGUUGUUCAAGUCUGCUGUUAAAGCGUGCGGCUUAACCGCAUAUC
rnacentral:rRNA from 1 species